rnacentral:lncRNA from 14 species
CUCACUGAUGCAGCACAGAGCAUCCCAGCACGGAUGUGACACCCAGACGGGGCGCUGGGUCCUCUCCCAUGUCUGAUGCUCACAUCCAGCAUCUCUUUGCACAGCUGAAGUUCAAGUCACUGAAGCUCACCAUGAACGCUGCUCUCCAGCGACGCUUCGGGAGCCCCUUCAUCUUCCGGGAGGAGGAUCCCAGCCGCCAGGUAGGACGGUCACAUAUGGAUCCAUUGGGAGCACUGGGGAUGCUGCAACACCCUGCGCUGAUGCUCAGCAUCCCCAUCAGUGCUCUGUACCAUCCCCAAUCCCCUCCAUUCCUGCUCUUGCACCCAGCAGUGGUGUAUGGUGAUGUAUAUCCCAUAUAUAUGGGAUGUAUCUCCCUGCAGAUAACAUUUGAGAUCUCCAAGCCUGAGGAAUCACAGAUCCCCAUCUGGAUCAUCCUGGGGAGCACCUUAGGAGGGCUCCUGCUCCUGGCCCUGCUUGUCCUCGUGCUCUGGAAGCUUGGAUUCUUUAAAAGCGGGAGCCGCAGGCGGGCGGCAGAGCAGGAGCACAGCACCCAGGGGCUGGAAUGAUGCUGCCAGGGCCACCAGCUCAUCCCCUCCAUGCCCCUUCCCAGCCCCUCGCUGGUUACAGAGGGUUCACCUCGAUGCCGAAGGGAUUUGGGUGCUGCACUUGGGUUUGCAUCGAGCUGAGAGCACAGCCCUUGGUGUGAAACCACCCGAACCGAAGACAAACCAAAGCCUGACACAGACCAAACCCCGAUGCCAGAGGAGCUUCAAGCUGGGUUUGCAACGAGGUGGCAGCGGUGUGGGGACCGAGGGGCCACCGAAGCGACCGUGCCCAUCACUUGGGGCUGCAAAUACCUUUAAUAGCCUUAAACAAUGGGGAUUGCUCAUCCUCAUGGCUGGGCUCUAGGAAGAGCCCUGGGCUUUGCUGGCCACAGCUCCCAAACUGCGCUGCCUUCCUUAAGCCAUUAGGUGGAGAUUUUAAUUUGCCUUCUUAAUGCACUGAAUACGAAUGACAGCAAAUUAAAGCACCUUAAUGCAGAUCUCCCGUGCCCAGCUGUACAUACUCAUUCCAGACCCAUUUACCUGUUUAAACAAAGGAGAAACCCCAAAUCCGGUUCUUUUUUAACUAAACCCAAAGAGCAGUUUGUAGCAAACCCCUCUAAGGGAGCAGUUUGGAAUAGCUCAUGGCCAGCAUGGGCCCACUCGUGUAUUAUAGCUGUACAUAGCAGGGGGGUCACGGGAGGAUCGGUGCUGAUGGAUUGACCAAAAUCUGUCUUUUUUGCAUAACAAACAGGUUUAUUUAUGCUAAUGUUAAUUUUAUGGAUGCCCAGGAAGCAGCGUAUGGGCCCCCGGAGGGUAAUGAACUGUGUUAAAUCCUGACCUAGUCUUUUGUAAGGAUUCAAAUACAGUAUUUUACUGAAUGGAGAGUCUCUGCUUCCCUUCUGUGCUUGUCCCGUUCUAUAGCUGGGAAUUAGAAUGCUUACACCCCUCCGGGAUGCAGUGGAUCAGGACAGGGCUCAGGCUUGCUCCUCCACUUGUUUCCUGUGGGAUGCAAGGUUUUCCA